CACAGCGUUCUGAUUCAGUGAACACCUUCUUGCCCCGCCCCACUUACUCCUCAAAAUCUCAAAUGUGGCCUUUCCAAAUGUCCAAGCAGGGGCGGGCAGUCUGCCUCCUUCCUAGCUUAAGCUGUCCAGCAGCCCGUUCUUAAUUAUGUGUCAAUGUUUAAUCAAGUCAAAAACAUCCCUCGCAGCAGAAUCCAGGUUAUUCUUGGAAUCAGAGCUAAGCUAUUAAGCAAUCGACACCUGAGAGGAAAACAAACCCCGAACACUCCUGAGGAUUUCAAAUCUAAGUGUUUGCAAAUAUGUGCAUAAUCUAGAGGAACAGGUGGAAGGAAAGAAGGACCCCCGGGGUUCUGGCAGCGGGACUAGCUAAGGCCAGCUCCUCACUUACCAUCUUGCAGAAGAAAGCGCUGCAGAGACUGGGCCCACUCAGCUUUUUCUUAAAGCCAGAGUUAGCUUGAAAUGGGACUGCAGAGAGGAGCAAGGAAGCGAGUUCUAAUCCGCUGGAGCUGCGAGUGACGUGCGUGGGGCUCCUGGCGGGUGUUGCUUGCUCUCUGAUUUAGUGCAAGGCUGUCAAACAGGUGCCUCAGGAGCCGCCCAGCCUAAGCUACAGCCACUCGAGCUCCGGAGACACCCGCACUGGGACGCGAGACCUGCGGGACGCCAAGGAAGGACCCGAGGCUCCAGGUCGCUGGGGCUGUGCCCAGUCAAAGCCUGUGCCUGUGCGAACUGAGCCUAUCUGGUAUACCUGGCGCGGUGGCGGCUGGCGAUGGGGACUCAGCUGCCCCACUCCCUCUGUGCCACGCGCCCAGCAGCCGGCAGGGCGGGGCUGGGCAGGGCGGCCAGCCAGCCCCCGGCGGCAUCCGAAGUCCAAAGCUUAGUCUCUGUGCAGCGCUAAAGAAGCCCAUCCAAGAGACCCUGGUGUGAGUGGUGUUCCCUGCAUGCCCUGGGCACAGGAAAACAAGUGAUGGCAACUUAA